UACCUUGUUACGACUACCCCAGUCAUGAAUCACCAUUAGUAAUCGCCCUCCUUUACGGUUAGGCCUAACUACUUCACCGGUAAAACCCACUCCCCGCUGAGUGUGACGGGCGGUGUGUACAGACUCCAGAGGACCGCCUCUUCACUGCGACAUGCUGAUCCGCGAUUAGCGAUUCCGACUUCACGCAGUCGAGUUGCGAACUGAUCCCGUUUGAUCGCGGUUUCUAGAGUUGGCUCACCCUCGCGGGUUAGCGACCCCUCUGUCCCGACCAUUGUAUGACGUAUGAAGCCCUAUCCGCAAGACCAUGAGGACUUGACGUCAUCCCCACCUUCCUCCAGUUUCUUAACGAUCUCCGUACGCAGGUGCCUUUCGUAGCAACUAAUGACAGAGGUUGCAUUCGUUGCGGGACUCCAACCCAGCAUCUCGGCCUGAGCUGACGACAGCCAUGCAGCACCUGUGUUCCAGGUUCUCUGCUUACUCCCAAAUCUCUUCAGGAUUCCAAGAACAUAUCGUAAAGGGCGAUGAGUUUUCGCGUUGCAUCAGAUUAAUCACAUCAUCCACCGCUUGUGCGGGUCCCCGUCAAUUCCCUUUGAGUUUAAUCUUGUGCAUCUCCCCAGGCACAGUGCUUCUUUUUGUCUAGCUACGCAUACCAGGUGACCCCAACAGCUAGUUGACAUCAUUUGGGCAAUGACCACAGGGGUAUCUAAUCCUGUUUGCUCCCCACGCUUUCGUGCGCUGAAACGUCAGUGUUAUCCCAGGAGGCUGCCUUCGCCAUCGGUGUUCCUCCGCAUAUCUACGCAUUUCCGCACCUUUCGCGGAAUUCCACCUCCCUCUGACACACUCCAGCUCAGUAGUUAAAAUGCAGUUCCAAAGGUUAAGCUCUGGGAUUUCAUCUUUCUUUCCGAACCGCCUGCGCACGCUUUGCCCAAGCGUUCCGAUUAACGCUUGCCACCAUUACGCUGGCGGCGUUGGCGGUGCUUAUUCUGCAAAUUGCCGUCAGUUGCACGGGGUAUUAUCCCGUGCCGUUUCUUUUAUACUGCCAAAAAAAGUGCUUUACAACUUCCAGGCCUUCAUCUUUUACGCAGGAUGGCUGGAUCAGGGUUUCCCCAUUAUCCAAAAUUACUGCUGCCUCCGUAGGAGUCUGGGCGUGUCUCAGUCCCGGUGGCUGGUCGUCACUCUCAAACCAGCUACGGAUCGUCACUGUGGCCGUGAGCCGUUACCCCACCAACUAGCUAAUCCGAUAUCGGCCGCUCUAAUAGUGCGAGGCCCGAAGGUCCCCGCUUUUCCCCGAAGGGCGUAUGCGGUAUUAGCUACGCUUUCGCGUACCGUUAUCCCCCGCUACUUCGGCGUUCGUCGAUGCUCACCCGUUCAUACUCGCCACCAGACCGAAGUCCAUGCUGCCGUUCGACUUGCGUAUGCAAAACGCUCCGCCAAGCGUUCAAUCUGAGCCAGAAUCAAACU
rnacentral:rRNA from 1 species